GCGCCCGUAGCUCAGUUGGAUAGAGCGUUGGCCUCCGGAGCCCAAAGGUCGAAGGUUCGAAUCCUUUCGGGCGUGCCA
rnacentral:tRNA from 1 species